UCAUUUCAGACUUUGCCGCGCUCGCUGAUGUUUAGCGCAUGUGACUCGCUCGCUGAUCUGCGGUCAGUUGUUUGUUUUGCUUUGCCAUGGUAAAGAACUGAAUGUACGGAGAGAAAACUGGUCCACGGGGCUCUUCUUCAAGCGAACAGAGCAUACGUCUCAAUUGAAAAUGUUCUUCUAUCAGAUUGAGUUUCAGUGAGGGACACACUGGUCUGUCUCAACGGAGCCUAGAUAAGAUGAAGGGGUGAAGGGAUGACAGCUGAGGCUCUGCCACAAUUACAGGACGUCUCAAGGCUCUUCCCUCUGGCAGCUCCAUAUGGCUGGCAAACUGAAACUGUGCUUUACUGGCAGCAGCGGAGGGCUGCAAACACCCUGCUGUCAAGAAAACAUGCUCUUUUAUUGACACACAGGCCCAGCUCCAAAAUAAAGUUACUGAGGUUGAUAUAUACUGAACAUUAUUUAAUAAGUUACUUAAUUUAUGUUCGUUUCAUUUUAGUAUAUAUAUUUUUGGAGACACAUUAUUUUAAGCUUAUUAACUAGCUUAUUAAGGUAGUUGAAUUUAGGUAUCGAGUAGAAUUAUGAAUGUAGUAUAAAAUCAUAGAAAAUAUGUACUUUAUACGUGCUAAUAAAAAAGCCAAUAUUUUAAUAACAUGCUAAGCAACUAGUCAACAGUGAGGAUACUGAUUGAGGAUUUUUGUUUGUCCAAUUUUGAUGCAUUUCUUGAUUCCUUCACAUUUUAUUUAAUUUUGUAUGGUCAUUAUUUUAUAUUUAUUAUUUUAUUUGAGCCUACUUUUAUGUAUUUGCUUUGUACUUCUACAGUUUUGUUGAUUUAUUAAAAUAAAUUGUUAAUUAAAAUAUAAUAUUUUUUUCUCCAAACAUUUCCAUGCACCCCUCCCCAUUAAAAAAAAUAAAUAAAUAAAUAAAACUCUGCUGUUGAUGUUUGGACAUAUUACAUUUUUGUCUCAUCCACUGCUAGAGAGACCUGUGUGUAGAUAGCAUUUAGCAGCAUUAAACAUAAGUAAUAGAUUAUACAUUGUCACAGUUCCGUUUUUCAAUUAAACCAUUAAACUGCACAGUGAAUCUCUUAUUUAGAUUGUGUUAGCAAUUCGUUAUAAUGAGAAGCGUUGCAAUCAUGUAGAGCUCAUUACUGAGCAAAAUCUUUUUUUUUUUUUUUUGAUAGGCUGCGCUACAUUGCAUAAAGCAAUAUGUAAUACUUUAAAAAAUCACUUUAUUAACUGUGUGCAUGUGUGUAGUUGUAUUGUUUUCACACUGUAAACGAUGCAAAGUUUACAGAAAUAAUUUGUGUUGUCCCAACACAAAUCAAUU